rnacentral:rRNA from 1 species
UACGAAGGGGGCUAGCGUUGUUCGGAAUUACUGGGCGUAAAGGGCGCGUAGGCGGUGUGUCAAGUCAGGCGUGAAAGCCCCGGCUCAACCUGGGAACCGCGCUUGAGACUGGCACGCUAGAGUUCGGGAGAGGAUGGUGGAAUUCCCAGUGUAGAGGUGAAAAUUCGUAGAUAUUGGGAAGAACACCGAUGGCGAAGGCAGCCAUCUGGACCGACACUGACG